rnacentral:rRNA from 1 species
UUGGUUAUGCUAAAAAGAGCGUAUGGUGGAUGCCUUGGCACUAAGAGCCGAUGAAAGACGUGAUAAGCUGCGAAAAGCUUCGGGGAGGAGCAAAUAUCCAUUGAUCCGGAGAUCUCUGAAUGGGGAAACCUACUUGAGAAGACCUCAAGUAUCCU